UACGUAGGAUGCAAGCGUUGUCCGGAAUUAUUGGGCGUAAAGAGCGAGCAGGCGGUUUGGAAAGUUGGACGUGAAAUUUUAGGGCUUAACCCUAAAGGGUCGUCCAAAACUCCCAGACUAGAGUGCAGGAGAGGAAAGCGGAAUUCCCGGUGUAGUGGUGAAAUGCGUAGAUAUCGGGAGGAACACCAGAGGCGAAGGCGGCUUUCUGGCCUGUAACUGACGCUGAGGCGCGAAGGCUGGGGGAGCAAACAGG
rnacentral:rRNA from 1 species